UUACUCGGUAAGUGGAAAGUGGCGGACGGGUGAGUAAUGUGUAGAGAAUCUGCCCUAGAGUGGGGGAUAGCAGUUGGAAACGACUAUUAAUACCCCAUAUGCGCGUAGCUGAGAUGCUAUUCGUGAAAACUCCGGUGCUCUGGGAUGAGUCUGCAUCUGAUUAGCUAGUUGGCGGUGUAAUGGACCACCAAGGCGACGAUCAGUAGCUGGUUUGAGAGGAUGAUCAGCCACAAUGGGACUGAGACACGGCCCAUACUCCUACGGGAGGCAGCAGUAGGGAAUUUUGCGCAAUGGGGGCAACCCUGACGCCAGCAACGCCGCGUGAAUGAAGAAGCCCUUCGGGGUGUAAAGUUCUGUCAGUGGGGACGAAACUUGACGGUACCCACAGAGGAAGCAUCGGCUAACUCCGUGCCAGCAGCAGC
rnacentral:rRNA from 1 species